rnacentral:rRNA from 1 species
CCUACGGGCGGCAGCAGUGAGGAAUAUUGGUCAAUGGGCGCGAGCCUGAACCAGCCAAGUCGCGUGAGGGAAGACGGUCCUAUGGAUUGUAAACCUCUUUUGUCGGGGAGCAAAAGACGCCACGCGUGGCGUUCCGAGAGUACCCGAAGAAAAAGCAUCGGCUAACUCCGUGCCAGCAGCCGCGGUAAUACGGAGGAUGCGAGCGUUAUCCGGAUUUAUUGGGUUUAAAGGGUGCGCAGGCGGGAGGUCAAGUCAGCGGUAAAAUUGAGAGGCUCAACCUCUUCCAGCCGUUGAAACUGGUUUGCUUGGGUGAGUGAGAAGUAUGCGGAAUGCGGGGUGUAGCGGUGGAAUGCAUAGGUAUCACGCAGAACUCCGAUUGCGAAGGCAGCAUACCGGCGGUCAACUGACGCUCAUGCACGAAAGUGUGGGUAUCGAACAGGAUUAGAUACCCCUGGUAGUC